GAAAUUCGAUAAGUAAUGUGAAUUGCAGAAUUCAGUGAAUCAUCGAAUCUUUGAACGCACAUUGCGCCCGCCAGUAUUCUGGCGGGCAUGCCUGUUCGAGCGUCAUUUCAACCAUCAAGCCCCGCGCUUGUGUUGGGGACCUGCGGCUGCCGCAGGCCCUGAAAACCAGUGGCGGGCUCGCUGUCACACCGGGCGUAGUAGAUUUUAUCUCGCUCAGGGCGUGCUGCGGGUUCCGGCCGUUAAAAAGCCUUUUUUACCCAAGGUUGACCUCGGAUCAGGUAGGAAGACCCGCUGAACUUAAGC
rnacentral:misc_RNA from 1 species